GAUGAACGCUGGCGGCGUGCCUAAUACAUGCAAGUCGAGCGAAUGGAUUAAGAGCUUGCUCUUAUGAAGUUAGCGGCGGACGGGUGAGUAACACGUGGGUAACCUGCCCAUAAGACUGGGAUAACUCCGGGAAACCGGGGCUAAUACCGGAUAACAUUUUGAACCGCAUGGUUCGAAAUUGAAAGGCGGCUUCGGCUGUCACUUAUGGAUGGACCCGCGUCGCAUUAGCUAGUUGGUGAGGUAACGGCUCACAAAGGCAACGAUGCGUAGCCGACCUGAGAGGGUGAUCGGCCACACUAGGACUGAGACACGGCCCAGAAGCCUACGGGAGGCAGCAGUAGGGAAGCUUCCGCAAUGGACGAAAGUCUGACGGAGCAACGCCGCGUGAGUGAUGAAGGCUUUCGGGUCGUAAAACUCUGUUGUUAGGGGAGAACAAGUGCUAGUUGAAUAAGCUGACACCUUGACGGUACCUAACCAGAAAGCCACGGCUAACUACGUGCCAGCCGCCGCCGUAA
rnacentral:rRNA from 1 species